AUCUAUUCAAAUCAAUCAAAGGGAGAUCUUCACUUACUCCAGAGCAGUCAUCACAUGCUCAGUCUCAGUCAUCACAUGCUCAGUCUCAGGCUCAAGCUUCAUCUUCAUCUUCUGAUCGAGUUUCUUCACGUCAUACACAUCCCAUCGUUCCAUCUUCAUCAACUAAUAGAGUCUCGUCACAUAAUGUCGUUCCAUCUUCAUCAACUAAUAGAGUCUCGUCACAGAAUGUCAUUCCAUCUUCAUCAUCUGAUAGAGUCUCGUCACAGAAUGUUAUUGUUUUUUCAUCAUCUGAUGGAGUCUCUUCACAACCAACUGGACGUAGACGAGUUAUAGAUGACACAGAGUCGGAGCCUUGUGGUUGGGUUGUUGGUGUUAUAAAUGAAAAUCAAGUGAUAAAAUUUAUUAAGUUGAAGGUUCAGGAUGUCCAUAACUUGGAGAAUGAAUUGCGCAUAAUUGUAGAAUGUGAUGAGUUUGCUCAACCUAUUGGAAAAUCAGCUGGCAUUCUUGCAGGAUUUUUUGGGGAGCUUGCUACAAAUCCUUGCUACUUUCCAAUUGGCUUUGAGAGUUGGACAUUAAUGCCUAAACCUUUUAUGCAUUGAGUUGUUGAUGAUUUCGUAUGGUCUUGAUUUUUCUUUAGGAGUGAUCAACAAAAGGUAAAAGGUUGGCUUAACAAUUCGCUUAACAAAAAGUGGAAGGAAUUCAGGCUUAAACUAUGGCAUGAAGUCGAGGAUCCAUUGUUGAGCAAAAAAAGAUAUCAUAUAAGAAUGCUCUAGAAGGCAUUCCCAUGGACCAAUGGGCAUUGUAUGUUAACUAUCAAUUCAAAGAGGAA